rnacentral:tRNA from 1 species
GCCUUCGUGGCGUGCUAAUCAGCACACUCGGCUCGUAUUCGAGAGGUCCGUGGUUCGAGUCCUGGCGAGGGCA